rnacentral:lncRNA from 1 species
UUUAAUUAAAAGAAAAAAACAAGCUUAAUCCCUAAAUCAGAGCCCAACGCUCACUGUUCUUCUUCUCCAAAGAACGCGCGAUCAAGCCCCAAAUUUCGUCCAAGUUCAUGGCAAGUGAGCAUCAAUCUUCAACCCACGCGUUCCCACCAUCCCUCCUCUAUCCAUUCGAACGGAUUUCUCACCAAAGAUUAUCAUUCCUCUCACUCGCCUGAUUUUGAGCCAUCUCACGCGAUUGGAAGGCCCUAGAGAACGUUUGUUGGAUGAGUGUGAGGCGUUGGAUCGAUCUCAUUGAAUCCAAGCCCCACAUUCAUCAGAGGUCAGUUUUCAAAAGGGGCCAACUCCAAUUUUGUGAGGGGUAUUUUGGAGAAAAAAAUUUCAGAGAGAGUGAAAAAAGUGAAAAGUUUCCUGUGAGAAAUGGUUUUUUCGAAGUUGAUUUUCUUGGACGAGGCUAUUGAAGUUCAAGAGAAGCAUAGAUACAAUUUCUUCUUCUGAGAUUCUGAUUUCUACUCAUUAGCUUCAAGCUUUCAUUGUAUUCGAAUUUAAAACAGAGUUAAACGGGUUGUUACUAAUUCAGGUUUGUUUUUAUUUUUAUCUCUUGUAGCCCGUUUUUGGCAUUUGAUUCAGAACUAUAUCGAGAAUACGAGUUCAACUGGGUUGGAACUAUUUGAACCUUGGUGAUUGUUGGUCGUAGUGUAUGUGUUUGCCAUUUUUACGCGUAUUUCUGGUUUGGUUGGCCGUAUACAUCUUAAAGUGAGCUCUUUGAAAUUGUUUUUAUGUUGUUGUUUCCUGUUAUGGUAGGAUUAGCUCGUGAGUGAUUACAGAAUGUGAGCUAUAUUCUUCAAUUUCUCUUUUGCUUCUUAAUUGUGUAUUGAUAGUUUUGUUUCCUGCCACUCUAUUUCUCAAUUAGUGGCACUUAUCAGAACAUGUUACAAACGACAGAAAUAUAGUGACUAGCAUUUGUUAUGAAGCAUUAGCUAACGUAGAUCUCACUUGUCCAAGUGAUGAGAUGAUUUAACUUGGGUUCCAUGUCAAAGUUUAGUUCAUUCUUUUCGUGUUUGAUUUAGUUUUGCGCUGGUUUAAAGAGGUGCUGAAGCCAAAUUGUUUUGCUGAGUAUGUAUGGUCGUAUUUGCUCUCAUUUCCCUCUUUUGUCCGAAUUUCGUCUGCCUUGUUAUCUCCACAGUAAUUUUGCUCUUUCGAGUUGUUGAAGAAAAUUUAAUUUCAGCAGUAGAUCGAGAUAAUACGAGCGAUAGUUUUGGACAUUUGUCCAGACUGUCGUCCCUGCUGAAACCUGCCCCGUUUUGCAUUUUUUGGCAACACAUUUGCAUGAUGUUGAGUGUUAAUUCUACAUUCAAAACCUACCCUAUUUUGCACUGUUUGAAUUGUAACUUUGCAUGCUAAUUCUGUUAGUCUAGGGUCACUGUUGAGUAUCAAAAGGUUGAAGCAAGUUUUUUUUCCUCAGUUUGCAUUGUAGAUAGUUGUGAUUUUGUUGAAAUGAAAACUGUUUUCGAGUCAGUUCAGGUGUGACUACUCUGGGA